GAGGAUGUUGGCGGUUCCCCUCAGCUGGUCGGGGGGGCUGACCCGCUGAUGACACUGCAAGACAAUCAGAUAGGCUGAGCUGAGCGCUCCCCAGAAAAUGCAAACCCAGGGGAGAGAGUGGCGAUGU
rnacentral:ribozyme from 1 species